UACGGAGGAUCCAAGCGUUAUCCGGAAUCAUUGGGUUUAAAGGGUCCGUAGGCGGUUUAGUAAGUCAGUGGUGAAAGCCCAUCGCUCAACGGUGGAACGGCCAUUGAUACUGCUGAACUUGAAUUACUGGGAAGUAACUAGAAUAUGUAGUGUAGCGGUGAAAUGCUUAGAUAUUACAUGGAAUACCAAUUGCGAAGGCAGGUUACUACCAGUUUUACUGACGCUGAUGGACGAAAAGCGUGGGGAGCGAACAGG
rnacentral:rRNA from 1 species